GCUCGCCAAGCGGCGGCAAGCCUUGCUCGCCAGACGGGCGGAAGUGCAUGCUGUGCAUGAGCAGACCUCGCUGCGCAUGUGCAGACCUCGCUGCGCAUACACUGACCUUGCUGCACAGCCACACUGGGCUAAAAUCUACUCGCCACAGUAUAUCCUUUUUGAGAUGGAGCAACCACAUCUGCUUGCUAUAUUCAAGAGGAUCCUGAAAUCUACCACCCCAUGAUCACUGCUUCCCAGGUUGUCUAUGUCCCCUAUUAGUUCUUCCCUGAUUGUGAGCAGAAGGUCAAGUUGCACAUGGCCCCUGGUCGGAUCCUUCAGCACUUGUACCAAGAA